rnacentral:rRNA from 1 species
GAUGAACGCUGGCGGUAUGCUUAACACAUGCAAGUCGAGCGGACUCUUCGGAGUUAGUGGCGGACGGGUGAGUAACGCGUGAGAAUCUGGCUUUGGGUUCGGGACAACCACUGGAAACGGUGGCUAAUACCGGAUGUGCCGAGAGGUAAAAGAGAAAUUGCCUGAAGAUGAGCUCGCGUCUGAUUAGCUAGUUGGUGAGGUAAAGGCUCACCAAGGCAGCGAUCAGUAGCUGGUCUGAGAGGAUGACCAGCCACACUGGGACUGAGACACGGCCCAGACUCCUACGGGAGGCAGCAGUGGGGAAUUUUCCGCAAUGGGCGAAAGCCUGACGGAGCAAUACCGCGUGAGGGAAGAAGGCUCUUGGGUUGUAAACCUCUUUUCUUAGGGAAGAACAAAAUGACGGUACCUAAGGAAUCAGCAUCGGCUAACUCCGUG